rnacentral:rRNA from 1 species
AUUGAACGCUGGCGGCAGGCCUAACACAUGCAAGUCGAGCGAGCGGCGGACGGGUGAGUAAUGUAUGGGACCUGCCCGAUUGAUGGGGAUAACUACUGGAAACGGUGGCUAAUACCGCAUACUAUCGGAUAACCCAUAUGGGAUUAGCUAGUAGGUGGGGUAAAGGCUCACCUAGGCGACGAUCUAUAGAUGAUCUGAGAGGAUGCUCAGCCACACUGGGACGGAGACACGGUCCAGACUCCUACGGAGGCAGCAGGGGGGAAUAUUGCACAAGGGGCGCAAGCCUGAUGCAGCCAUGCCGCGUGUAUGAAGAAGGCCUUAGGGUUGUAAAGUACUUUCAGCGGGGAGGCGUUACCCGCAGAAGAAGCACCGGCUAACUCCGUGCCAGCAGCCGCGGUAAUAC